GCAGCAUUGGUCAUACUUGACGUGACACCGCAAUUUAUAAAUUUUCGUGAUACGUGUUAUUAUUAAAUUAAAAUCCAGAACUACAGUUCAAAGAGAGUGACUCGGAUUUUGGACGGAUUAUUAUACUGCUAAUUGUUAUAUUGCUGAGGAUGACUACAAAGCAAGUCGAAACAUUCAAGAUUUUGAAAUAAAGAAGACAUCAAAUCUUGUUAUGAAAAAAGAAAUUAGCGCCAUGAUUAGCACAAGGCGGCAGCGACUUAAAUGUGUUUGAACAUAUUUGUCAUACGUUGUCAUUGGAAUACACACAUAUAAUCAAGGGUUUCAAUAGUCUUACUUUAGACCAUACAUAGAAAUUAGCGCCAAUGCUUAUAAUGGUCAAAACUGAAUCCUUAAUGCCGUAGCAGAAAGAUGCGAGUUGAUCCGAGCGAUUUUUGAGGUAAAAGAGUAAACAGACGCUUUUGAUUUGCAAUACGGAACGUACCUACGAGUAUCGUAUACGACAAUACUAACGUUCAAUCAGAAGAUGGCUAGAUGUGCAAACAACAUGACAAAUAGGAGAUACCAAUCUUUGAGUGAAAUGAGCAGUAACACAGGAUAUUAUAUACAAGCAAAAAAAUUAAAAAAGACGGUAAUUAAUCUAGUUAAAACAGUAGCAAGUAGGUCAGUGAGUCAAAACGGUAAAGCUACCGCUAAAACUUUUUAUGCCAAUGCUCGACACUCAUUAGCCUAUAGCGUUUUCGGCUCAACCGGAUUUGCAUCAACUUAGGUUGAAAAAUGCUUCUUGACGUUACACGCUCUACUAGGAGAAACAUACGAAACAUCAUUACUUUA